UUCGUGGAGGGAGGAUUCGGGCUGUAGGUGGGGGGUGGUGUGGGGAUGCCUAGGGCACCCCCUGAAACCCAAGCAAGGGCCCUGGGGCACUCCAGGCCACUGUCCGAGGCUCCCCCUUCCUUCCCUUCCCCCAGUGCCUACGGCGGCUGCUUGGCACCUCUUAGGAGCCGAGAGCCUUUUCAGCUCCCCCUUUAUUUCUAGUACCCCGAAAUGUGCGUUUUUCCUCGCUCUUCCUGCAACCCCCGCCCCAUUGCCUCUGACUUUCCUCCACGACGCUUGGACUCCCAAGACAGCCUUUAAAAAAAAUUUUUUUUUUUUUUUUUUUUUUUUUUUUUUGGCAAGACCAGCCACCUCUUUUCACCAAGGCCACCUUUUAAGGUCUCUCUUUCCUGUUUGCUUCUGAUUUAGGAACUCGAGAUAGAAAUUCCCGAGAGUGAAGCCUUUCCCCCUUUCUUGAGAUGCCUCCAUUCCCUCCACUUAGUGCUUCUUGAACUGGGGGUUUUGUUUAUAUAACUCAAGUUGUUUGGCUGGAUUCUUCAGGUGAAUUCCUUCUUUCUUCCUUUUAUUUGUUACUGUUUGCGAUUGGACGUUUUACCUCUGUAGAGAUCGAUGAUUGUUGCUAAAUACCCAGUUAUGGAAUUUGCAAAAGUUUUUAAACAAGUAGUUUUUGCAUUUGGUUUGGAAGCGGGGGAUGGGAGGGAAGUUCCUGGGCAAGUGAUUUUCUUCUCAUAAUCUUUCCAGGAAUAAGAAGGUGUUUUUCUCUUCACUUAGGAAAACUUGGCUAGAAAUUAGGAACAGAUAGACUUCGAAGUUUUGGGAUUUGAAAUUUAGAAUUUUGGGGAGGUGGGAGUGGAGAUUAGAGAGAGGAACAAGUACUAAAGUGUAUAUUAUGUACCAACAUAUGUCCAGGCUUAAGUGAGACCCUUUAUGAGCUGUUUGUGGCUCUGAUUGAGUUUUGUAAAUGUGUGAAUGAUACCAGUAAUGCUGGCUUUUCAUAAGGUUUCAGGAAAACUUGCAACUGUGGCUAUGUGUACAUUUUACAUAAAGCAGUUUCAGAUUUUAUUUUUGUUUAGAAACUAGGAAAUGGCAUGAUGGCAGAAUCUGAGUUAUUUUUAUCUUGAAUUCAGAGUUACUGUCACACCUAAUGCAAAUUUCUACCUAAUGUUUAAUUAGAAUGGGGGUGGGUGGGAGAAUGCCAGCUGUUUUUGAUCAAUGUCAGGUUCUCAAAUUAUAUACAUAUAUAUUUUUAGAAGAUUGAGGAUAAAGGGUGAGGCCUAACUUGACCUGAUGCCUUUUCCAUAUAGUGCCUUUUGUUCAUUUAGUAGUUGUGGCAUCUAGAAUGAUUACCGCAUUUAGGAGUCGGGGUGUGGGGGGUGGAGAGGCAGAGGAAAACAGACAAAGAACUGCAGGGUGUCUUUCUUUUUUUCCUUCCCCUAAGUGGCUUAUUUCAUAGCUUAUUUUUAGUAGAAGAUAAAGAAAGGCUAAGAUGUAUUGGCCUUCUGUUCUUUCCCCACCUUCCUUCUUUCUGACAAAAGAAAGCAAAGGUGCUUUAAAAUCAUAGAUCUCUGAGAUAGGAGAACAGCAGUCUCGGGAUUUAAAAGGCAGAGGUUAUCUUUGUUUCAGAUUUUUGAUUUUCAGGGUUAACAUAGUUUGGAAGUUAAAAUUUCCUGCAUCCUUUUGUGUGUGCAUAUGUCUUGUCGGUUGAGAGAUUUUGUGGCCUCCUUUCUCUGUUGAAUGCACAUUAGCAGGCCCAAAUGGAGCCAGCAGUUUUUUGAGCAAGGUAUAGUUAGCAAAAAAAAGGGAAAAAUUCCCUAACCCACUAUGAAAAUGAGUACAGUUGUGUGAGAGGGCUGGGGGUUGAAAAUGAAAGAUGGUGGAGAGGAAGUAGAAAAGGUCUGAAGGAAUGUACUUGUUUUUUUGCUCCUUAGUGUCCCUUGAUGAUUUCUUUGGUGUGGAGGCUGAUAGCUGGUUUCAUUGCAAUCUCCUGUUUCAGCCCAUUUUUGGAUGUCUCCCGAGUGUAAUUAUGCUACAAGGAUUUACAGCCUGAUAGGGAACCUGUAUAGUAGGAAAGUAGCGGUGUGGGGGUAGGGAGAGAAGAGGAUGUGUAACUAACUGGCCACUGCCUUCUACCACCUCCCUAGACACUGACUCUGGUUGUUUGGAGUCAGUGCUGUUUCUUUUGUGAUGGGUUGGUAGGAGGAGAGCUGACUUCCAAGUUAUACAGGGAGUGAGUGUUUUGCACCGAUUCACUUAUUCACUUAAUAAUCCGCUGGGCGAUUAUGUUCUGAAACUCUGACUCAUUCAUUGUUUCUCUUCUGAUCCUUUGCUGAAUGUUGUGCAAACCUCUCCAGGAGCCUAGAAACUGAUGUACAUGACUUUUGGGCCCUGUUAAAAGUGUG